GUCCAGCGCCCAGCCAGGACAUCAUAGUCACGCUGGGUGAAGUGGACCAGCUUGGUCAGGGCGUCAUACAGACCACCAUGAAAUCCGACCACAAGCUGGAAUUCUGGGUUGGAGUCCAAAUAAACCUCUCCAUAUGCUGUGUACUGCACCUGAAACAUAAUGUUGCUGAACCUUGCCUGGACCAAGUUAAGCAAAGCCAGGCCAUAAGAUUGGCCCCAUAAACUUCAAUGGUAGGCAGUAGGUAAUGACUGCAUAACUUAAUCCACCUCUCUGCUUACCCUGAUGUAGUCAAAACUGUGUGAGAACUAAUAUUUUUCAGUUCCAACAUAAACUUUAUAGUGCCCAUUAAAAGAAAGAAAAUUAAAAUAGUGAUUUGGCACAACACCGUUGUUUAGUCUAAUUCCUUGUUGCUAUUAUCCUUUGCCUUGUGCAUGUGAACAUGCGUAACUAUGAAUUCUGCAAUGAUUAUAUUUCAUGAAUCGUUUUUGUGAACUUGGAAAAAAAAAACAUCUGUAUUCCCAAACAUUUCCUCCCAUUGUCAUUGGUGUUUAAGAAGUGAGAUAACUACUUACAGCACCAGUAAAAGUUAAAUAACUAUUGCCUUGUAAGUCUGUAUGAACAAAAUGUUUGUAGUGAACAUCUGUACAAAUAAACACCUACCUGGAGGUCAUA